rnacentral:lncRNA from 1 species
CACGUGGUUGCCUAUGUUUUUUUUUCAAAUUUCGGGUAAAAAGUAAGAGAAACUUCACAAAGAACAAUUUGUCCCUCAUCGCAACCAAAGAUAGUACUUCUUUUUACAAUUAGUGGAGUAGCUAUUAAAGGUAAAAUGAGGACACUUGCGCUUCAAAGUUUUGGGGUUUCAGGGGCAGAACUUAUUUUUGAUCUGGAUGUUAAU